UACGUAGGGGCCGAGCGUUGUCCGGAAUUAUUGGGCGUAAAGAGCGUGUAGGCGGUCCGGUAAGUCAGCUGUGAAAGUCAAGGGCUCAACCCUUGAAUGCCGGUUGAUACUGUCGGGCUAGAGUCCGGAAGAGGCGAGUGGAAUUCCUGGUGUAGCGGUGAAAUGCGCAGAUAUCAGGAGGAACACCGGUGGCGAAGGCGGGUCUCUGGGCCGGAACUGACGCUGAGGAGCGAAAGCGUGGGGAGCGAACAGG
rnacentral:rRNA from 1 species